GCUGGGCGCGGUGGCUCACGCCUGUAAUCCCAGCACUUUGGGAGGCUGAGGCGGGUGGAUCACCUGAGGUCAGGAGUUCGAGACCAGCCUGACCAACAUGGUGAAACCCCAUCUCUA
ensembl:misc_RNA Metazoa_SRP Metazoan signal recognition particle RNA